rnacentral:rRNA from 1 species
AGAGUUUGAUCCUGGCUCAGAACGAACGCUGGCGGCAGGCCUAACACAUGCAAGUCGAACGCCCCGCAAGGGGAGUGGCAGACGGGUGAGUAACACGUGGGAACCUUCCCUAUAGUACGGAAUAGCCCAGGGGAAACUUGGAGUAAUACCGUAUACGCCCGCAAGGGGAAAGAAUUUCGCUAUAGGAUGGGCCCGCGUAGGAUUAGCUAGUUGGUGAGGUAAUGGCUCACCAAGGCGACGAUCCUUAGCUGGUUUGAGAGAACGACCAGCCACACUGGGACUGAGACACGGCCCAGACUCCUACGGGAGGCAGCAGUGGGGAAUAUUGGACAAUGGGCGCAAGCCUGAUCCAGCCAUGCCGCGUGAGUGAUGAAGGCCUUAGGGUUGUAAAGCUCUUUUGCCGGGGACGAUAAUGACGGUACCCGGAGAAUAAGUCCCGGCUAACUUCGUGCCAGCAGCCGCGGUAAUACGAAGGGGACUAGCGUUGUUCGGAAUCACUGGGCGUAAAGCGCACGUANGCGGAUUUGUAAGUCAGGGGUGAAAUCCCGGGGCUCAACCUCGGAACUGCCUUUGAUACUGCGGGUCUUGAGUCCGAUAGAGGUGGGUGGAAUUCCUAGUGUAGANGUGAAAUUCGUAGAUAUUANGAAGAACACCGGNUGGCGAANGCGGCCCACUGGAUCGGUACU